rnacentral:piRNA from 1 species
UCUCAAUUUUCAUUGAAACAAUUCAAAGAA